CUCUCCUCUUCAUGCAGCGGUCACCAAAGAGCACGUAGCCGCAGAAAGGGAAAGUGAAAGAGCAGAGCAACAUGCAAGAGUCAGGCCAGAGAAGAAGCUAUCAGUCUGUUCAAAACAUGGACGGCCAGGGACAGACAAAGGUGCCGGGGAGGAAAUUCCAUGUCUCCGUGGCAGGAUGUACCAACGGUGCUCAUCAGACCUAUGUUAAUGACCUCAAAGGGAUGGGUCAAAUCGAGGUGGUCUCUCCUGAACAAAGUGACUACUUGGUGCUUUUCUGUCCCAUCGCGUCUCGAGUUGGAAAAGACAUCGGAGAGGCAAUGGACAAAAUCCCAGGUGGGAAACCAAUCGUUCUGGUGGUGAUGCAUCACACCUACGACAAAGAUCAUUUUGUGCCUGAAAGCAGGAGACUCGUGGAAAACCCGGAUGUCAUCGUCACCGUAGACGUUCUGUUCCAUGAGAGCAAAAUGCUGAUCUGCAACCGCAAUGACACGGCCUGGUUUCAGGUCAAGGAUGUUCUUGGAGUUUCCCCUGCACAGGACAGCAGCUGGCUAUCUUGGACGUGUGUGCUGCAGAGGGUUGGACGUUGUUUUAUGUCGUUGUGUUCCUGGACACUUCAUCUCAUAUUGGCUACAGUAUUGAACAUCGGAGAGGCAAUGGACAAAAUCUCAGGUGGGAAACCAAUCGUUCUGGUGGUGAUGCAUCACACCUACGACAAAGAUCAUUUUGUGCCUGAAAGCAGGAGACUCGUGGAAAACCCGGAUGUCAUCGUCGCCGUAGACGUUCUGUUCCAUGAGAGCAACAUGCUGAUCUGCAACCGCAAUGACACGGCCUGGUUUCAGGUCAAGGAUGUUCUUGGAGUUUCCCCUGGACCGGUCUUCAGCUGGCUAUCUUACUGGAGGAAAUACCGAAAGAUGAUUAUUAUUACAGUAAUUGUUGUUGGAGGUGUCAUUGUGUCCGUGGAAGCGUCAGUGCACUAUCCACAGAAGUCAGCAGCUGUUGCAGUUGUUGCUGUUGCCAUCAGCCUAUAUUACAUCAGAGAGGCAAUGGACAAAAUCUCAGUGCCGGGGAAGAAAUUCCAUGUCUCCGUGGCAGGAUGUACCAACGGUGCUCAUGAGACCUAUGUUAAUGACCUCAAAGGGAUGGGUCAAAUCGAGGUGAUCUCUCCUGAACAAAGUGACUACUUGGUGCUUUUCUGUCCCAUCGCGUCUCGAGUUGGAACAGACAUCGGAGAGGCAAUGGACAAAAUCCCAGGUGGGAAACCAAUCGUUCUGGUGGUGAUGCAUCACACCUACGACAAAGAUCAUUUUGUGCCUGAAAGCAGGAGACUCGUGGAAAACCCGGAUGUCAUCGUCACCGUAGACGUUCUGUUCCAUCAGAGCAAAAUGCUGAUCUGCAACCGCAAUGACAUGGCCUGGUUUCAGGUCAAGGAUGUUCUUGGAGUUUCCCCUGGACCGGUCAGCAGCUGGCGACCUUUCUGGAUGAAAUACCGAAAGAUGAUUAUUAUUAUAAUAAUUGUUUUUGCAGUUGUUGUAGUAAUCAUUGUGUCCGUGGAAGCGUCGGUGCCGCAUACACAGAAGCCAUCAGCCAAUAUUACAUCGGAGAGAAAAUGGACAAAAUCUCAGGGAUGCGUGUGGCGCAGAGUGUUGUGCAGUUGUGCAGUUGUUGCGUGAAGUUGUGCGGUUGGUGCAUGAAGUUGUGCUGUUGGUGCAUGAAGUUGUGCGGUUGGUGCAUGAAGUUGUGGUCCAAGACAUGACGUGGUGUCCCUGGGCAAGACCCUUCACCCCAGAUCGGCUACAGCAUUGAGUAAUGUGGGGGAAAGACAAACAGCUGAUGUGUGUGACUGUAGCGGUAAUUGUGACCUUGGUAGUGGUCUAUACACAGAUUUAAGAAGACCUCUGGGGUUUAUUAUUCCAAUAAAUGCAUUUUGAAGGGACAAAAGUGCAUGUGCAAUGCAUUUGCAAUCAACGGGAAAUGAAGGAUGCUAUUAAACUAUUAACAUAGAUGCUUUUGAGCUGAAGCUUUGGAUCACUGAUGUUUUAUCUAAGGUGCAUUAGAGAAGAAUAGAUGGAAGAAUAACAAACCUGCUUUAAGUAAAUGACACUUACAAAUUAACACGAAAUUCAAGUUAAACUUAUAAGACAAACCUGCCAUUCGUUGAAAAGUCUUUAAAGUCGACUCUACAGUAUUAUUGAUAAAGUUCCUCCUGUCAAAAUUGGCACAGAAGAAAUCUUUUAAACAGAGAUUGUAAUGUAGGUGAAUGGGUACAAACGUGUUAAAUGAGAAUGUUGAUUCAGUGUGCUUUUGAGAUAUACAGAUUUUUUACCUAAUGUUUAAAUGUGUGCCGUAGAGAAGUGUGUGAUCAAAUGUUAUCAAGUUUAACAUAUCCUAAAAUAUCUGUAAAACCCUGCUGCUGCUGCUUUGUGCUCAUUAAAACAUCAACAUAAUAAAUACAAAUCAAUCAA